GACGAACGCUGGCGGCGUGCUUAACACAUGCAAGUCGAACGGAAAGGCCCUGCUUUUGUGGGGUGCUCGAGUGGCGAACGGGUGAGUAACACGUGAGUAACCUGCCCUUGACUUUGGGAUAACUUCAGGAAACUGGGGCUAAUACCGGAUAGGAGCUCCUGCUGCAUGGUGGGGGUUGGAAAGUUUCGGCGGUUGGGGAUGGACUCGCGGCUUAUCAGCUUGUUGGUGGGGUAGUGGCUUACCAAGGCUUUGACGGGUAGCCGUCCUGAGAGGGUGACCGGCCACAUUGGGACUGAGAUACGGCCCAGACUCCUACGGGAGGCAGCAGUGAGGAAUAUUGCACAAUGGGCGGAAGCCUGAUGCAGCAACGCCGCGUGCGGGAUGACGGCCUUCGGGUUGUAAACCGCUUUCGCCUGUGACGAAGCGUGAGUGACGGUAAUGGGUAAAGAAGCACCGGCUAACUACGUG
rnacentral:rRNA from 1 species